CUCAGUCGGUUAAGCGUCUGCCUUCAGCUCAGGUCACAAUCUCCAGGUCCUGGGAACCGAGCCCCACAUCAGGCUCCCUGCUCUGCAGGGAAUCUGCUUCUCUCUCUCUCUCUCUUUCCCUCUGUCCCUCCUCACUGCUUGUUCUCUCUCUCUCAAGUAAAUAAAUAAAAUCUUAAAAAAAUAUAUUUUAUUACUUAUGAAAUAUAAUAGGACUGAUGUGGAGAAAUUAGAAUCUUCAUCCUUUACUGAUCGGAAUGUAAAAUUGCAUAGCCACUGUGGAAAAUGGUUUGGUGGUUCCUCAUUAGGUUAAACAUAGAAUUACCUUAUAAUCCAGCAAUUCCACUUCUAGGUAUAUACCCAAGGGUUGAAAGUAGGGACUCAAACAGAUACCUGGACUCCAAUGUUCAGAGCAAUAUUAUUCACAAUAGCCAAAAGAUGGAAACAACCUAAGUGACCCUCAACAAAUGAAUGAAUUUUUUUUAAGUGGUAUAUAUAUAAAAUGGAAUCUUAUUUAACAAUAAGAGAUCUUGAAUAGACAAAUUCAUAAAGACAGAAAGUAGAAUAGAAUUUACCAGGGGCUGGAGGUAGGAGGGAAUAGGGAGUUAUUGUAUAAUAGGUACAGAGUUUCUUUUUUUCUUAAAGAUUUUAUUUAUUUAUUUAUUUGUCAGAGAGAGAGACAGAGAGACAGAGCACAAGCAGGGGGAGUGGCAGGCAGAGGGAGAAGCAGGCUUCCCAUUGAGCAAGGAGCCUGAUGUCGGACUUGAUCCCAGGACCCUGGGAUCAUGACCUGAGCCAAAGGCAGACGUUUAACCAACCAAGCCACCCAGGCAUCCCUGGAUACAGAGUUUCUGUUAGGAAUUAUGAAAAGUUCUGGAAAUGGAGAGUGGUAAUGAUUACAUAACAUUGUGAAUGUGCUUAAUGCCACUGAAUUGUACACUUAAAAAUGGCUAAAAUCGUAAAUUUUAUGUUAUGUGUAUUUCACCAUAGGGGAGAACUCCUUCAACUUGGAAAAAAACAUCUACCAAAAAACCUACAGCUAACAUCAUAUUUCAUGGUGAUAAACUCAAAAGUUUCUUGCAAAGAUGAGGAACAAGACAAGGAUGUCUCUUUUUACCACAGUUUUUCAGCAUCAGAGUGGAAGUCCUAGAGCAUACUGGUGUACCCUGUAGACUGGAAGGGAAGAAUCAGGCUCGAGAACUGAGAAAAUAAAAACUACAAACCAACCAACCAAUCAAAGAAACAAUAACAACAAAAAACAACUAACUGAAGGAUACAGAAUGAAUUAUGAGGGGAUAAUUAGAGCAAAUUGUUUUUCUACUGUUCCAUGGAAUCAUAGUUUGGUAGAUAUAUCUUGAGGUCAAGGAAAGGUCAAGAAAAAGAUUCUGUAGCACCAGGCACAUGCACUCUUAUAUACUGAAAUCCUGAAAGAAAACAAAGAGUGUUCAGAGAGAAGAGAGGAAUGACAUCCAA